ACUUACUGAUCGACACCUAAAUAUCCAUUUGGAAAUGUGUCAGGGUAAAAAUGGAAACCGAGAACUGCAAUUAUAGCCAAACCACGUAUACCUUGUAGAUCA
ensembl:ncRNA T22H2.7 ncRNA